AUACGUAGGUGGCAAGCGUUGUCCGGAAUUAUUGGGCGUAAAGCGCGCGCAGGUGGUUCCUUAAGUCUGAUGUGAAAGCCCCCGGCUCAACCGGGGAGGGUCAUUGGAAACUGGGGAACUUGAGUGCAGAAGAGGAUAGUGGAAUUCCAAGUGUAGCGGUGAAAUGCGUAGAGAUUUGGAGGAACACCAGUGGCGAAGGCGAAUGGUUGGUCUGUAACUGACACUGAGGCGCGAAAGCGUGGGGAGCAAACAGGAUUAGAUUCCCUGGUAGUCCACGCCGUAAACGAUGAGUGCUAAGUGUUGGGGGGUUUCCGCCCCUCAGUGCUGCAGCUAACGCAUUAAGCACUCCGCCUGGGGAGUACGGUCGCAAGACUGAAACUCAAAUGAAUUGACGGGG
rnacentral:rRNA from 1 species